GGGACGAACCCUAAUGACCGCCAAAACCCUAGCUCUCCCAUCCCUCUCUAUAAGUACCACGGAACGAGUGCGUAAAAUCUAUGGUCGUUGCCGCCGUCUUAGGGUUUAGCAUUGAGAGGGCUUUAUCUUAGCAGUUCCCUUACUGUGGCGAUCUGUGCGUGUGUAUGACAACAGUGGGCCUAUUGGAGGUCCACGAGAUCAAUGCAUGUAUUAUUACUGGGACGAUGACGAUUCGUGUGAAAGGUCUCGUUCGUCGUAAUGGCGUAUGCGCCUUGCCGACCAUCCUGAUAUAUCACCACCCAUAUUCCGAGUCCCUCAAUAAGUCCCAUUUUUUCUUUCAUUUUCUGAGUGGAGUAUUUCCAAAUCUUGCUGUUUUUAUUUCUAUAGUUGUUUUUUUAUUAAUUCAUUUUUGUUAUGCUUGGAAGAUUGGCCGAUGAUUAAAAUAUUUUAUUUAGACAAGCAUAUGUCUGAAAAAAAAUUCGUGUUGACAAUCUAA